AUGGAAAAGCUCAGUUUAGAGUUUAAAACUCUAAUGCUGGCUGAAAAGAAAGUUCAGUUUAGGGUUUAAAACCCUAAUGCUGAUUGCAUGGAAAAGCUCAGUUUAGGGUUUAAAACCCUAAUGCUGGCUGAAAGGAAAAAGUUCAGUUUAGGGUUUAAAACCCUAAUGCUGAUUGCAUGGAGAAGCUCAGUUUAGGGUUUAAAACCCUAAUGCUGGCUAAAGGAAAAAUUCAGUUUAGGGUUUAAAACCCUAAUGCUGAUUAAAGGAAAAGUUCAGCUUACGGUUUAAAACCCUAAUGCUGACUGGCUGGAAAGUUCAGUUUAGGGUUUAAAACCCUAAUGCUGACUGAAAGGAAAAAUUCAGUUUAGGGUU
rnacentral:lncRNA from 1 species